rnacentral:rRNA from 1 species
UCUCCUGGAAAACGGGUGGUAAUGCCGGAUGCUCCAUCACACCGCAUGGUGUGUUGGGAAAGCCUUUGCGGCAUGGGAUGGGGUCGCGUCCUAUCAGCUUGAUGGCGGGGUAACGGCCCACCAUGGCUUCGACGGGUAGCCGGCCUGAGAGGGCGACCGGCCACAUUGGGACUGAGAUACGGCCCAGACUCCUACGGGAGGCAGCAGUGGGGAAUAUUGCACAAUGGGCGCAAGCCUGAUGCAGCGACGCCGCGUGAGGGAUGGAGGCCUUCGGGUUGUAAACCUCUUUUGUUAGGGAGCAAGGCAUUUUGUGUUGAGUGUACCUUUCGAAUAAGCACCGGCUAACUACGUGCCAGCAGCCGCGGUAAUACGUAGGGUGCAAGCGUUAUCCGGAAUUAUUGGGCGUAAAGGGCUCGUAGGCGGUUCGUCGCGUCCGGUGUGAAAGUCCAUCGCUUAACGGUGGAUCCGCGCCGGGUACGGGCGGGCUUGAGUGCGGUAGGGGAGACUGGAAUUCCCGGUGUAACGGUGGAAUGUGUAGAUAUC